rnacentral:rRNA from 1 species
AUUGAACGCUGGCGGCAGGCCUAACACAUGCAAGUAGAGCGAGCGGAGGACGGGUGAGUAAUGUAUGUGGAAUGCCCGAUAGAGGGGGAUAACUACUGGAAACGGUGGCUAAUAACGCAUACUGUCGGAUAACCCAUAUGGGAUUAGCUAGUAGGUGGGGUAAAGGCACACCUAGGCGAGGAUCUAUAGCUGGGCUGAUAGGCUGAUCAGCCACACUGGGACUAGGACACAGCCCAGACUCCACCGGAGGCAGCAGUGAGGAAUAUGGCCCACUGGGCGCAAGCCUGAUGCAGCCGUACCGCGUGUAUGAAGAAGGCCUUAGGGUUGUAAAAUACAUUCAGCGGGGAUGCUUUACCCGCAGGAGAAGCACCGGGUCAAUCCGUGCCAGCAGGCGCAGUAAUAC